GUGCUCCAGUUUCUGUGGGCUUACAACGCAAUCCACAGGGUCAGAGAACUACCUCGAAGAAUGGACCUAAUCAAAUCAAAAUCACUCGAAGAAGCAUUCCAAACCGAAGCACAAGAAAAAUCCAUCAAAAUUUUCCGUUCGUUAAGAAAACACUUGAAUAAAUGUAUUUUAUAAUCCCUGGAAAAUUUGCUGAAAACAUCAAAUGAAAUGUUCCCGUACAGCCGUAAAAUUAAUUGAAUCAAAAAAUGGGCCAUAAACAUGAAAAAUAAAAACGUUCGUGGCACAUUAAAAAUAUCCGAAAUGGCCCUACUUCUUUUCAUUCUCUAAAGAAACUGCCCGAAUGGAUAUUGCGGCGGUGGCUGCGGCUGCGGCAGCGGCAGCGGCGGUGGCGGCUCCCAAGCAAACAUCAGAUUUUUGAUUCAGACUGUAAUUGAUUUUUUUUUGCCAGGGUAGAGCUACUCUGUUCGCCGAUCAACUCAAUAGCGGAAUAAUAGAAAUUAUUUUCUCUACCGAAACUAUUUAUAAACGCAUACAAAUACGGACUGCCAGCCAAACUGGGUUUUAACAAACGAUGUUCCCAACUUUGUUUGUCCAAGCCCCAACAAUGGGAAUAAAUUAUCGGUCUGUCCGACCGACCUACCGAUAGAAACCUA